rfam:Botryotinia fuckeliana BcDW1 unplaced genomic scaffold Scaffold_434, whole genome shotgun sequence.
GCCCGUUUGGCUUAGCGGUAAAGCGCAUCACUAGUAACGUAAUGAUGAGAUCCUAGGUUCGAUUCCUAGAACGGGCA